rnacentral:rRNA from 1 species
CUACGGGAGGCAGCAGUAGGGAAUCUUGCACAAUGGGCGAAAGCCUGAUGCAGCAACGCCGCGUGCGGGAAGAAGGCCCUAGGGUUGUAAACCGCUUUCAGCAGGGAAGAAAAUGACGGUACCUGUAGAAGAAGGUGUGGCCAACUACGUGCCAGCAGCCGCGGUGACACGUAGGCACCAAGCGUUGUCCGGAUUUAUUGGGCGUAAAGAGCUCGUAGGCGGUUCGGUAAGUCGGGUGUGAAAACUCUGGGCUCAACCCAGAGCCGCCACCCGAUACUGCUGUGACUCGAGUACGGUAGGGGAGCGGGGAACUCCUGGUGUAGCGGUGAAAUGCGCAGAUAUCAGGAAGAACACCAGUGGCGAAGGCGCCGCUCUGGGCCGUGACUGACGCUGAGGAGCGAAAGCGUGGGUAGCAAACAGGAUUAGAAACCCUAGUAGUCC